rnacentral:rRNA from 1 species
UACGUAGGGGGCAAGCGUUGUCCGGAUUUAUUGGGCGUAAAGAGCUCGUAGGCGGUUUGGUAAGUCAGGUGUGAAAUCUCCACGCUCAACGUGGAGGGGCCACCUGAUACUGCCAUGACUGGAGUCCGGUAGAGGAGUGUGGAAUUCCCGGUGUAGCGGUGAAAUGCGCAGAUAUCGGAAGGAACAUCAGUGGCGAAAGCGACUUCCUGGACCAGUACCGACGUUCAGGCACGAAAGCGUGGGGAGCAAACAGG